UACGUAGGGCGCAAGCGUUGUCCGGAAUUAUUGGGCGUAAAGAGCUCGUAGGCGGCCUGUCGCGUCGGAUGUGAAAGCCCGGGGCUUAACCCCGGGUCUGCAUUCGAUACGGGCAGGCUAGAGUUCGGUAGGGGAGAUCGGAAUUCCUGGUGUAGCGGUGAAAUGCGCAGAUAUCGGGAGGAACACCGGUGGCGAAGGCGGUUCUCUGGGCCUUACCUGACGCUGAGGAGCGAAAGCGUGGGGAGCGAACAGG
rnacentral:rRNA from 1 species